rnacentral:rRNA from 1 species
UACGUAGGGCGCAAGCGUUAUCCGGAAUUAUUGGGCGUAAAGAGCUCGUAGGCGGUCUGUCGCGUCGAUCGUGAAAACUUGGGGCUUAACCCUGAGCUUGCGGUCGAUACGGGCAUGACUGGAGUUCGGCAGAGAGACUGGAAUUCCCGGUGUAGCGGUGAAAUGUGUAGAGAUCGGGAGGAACACCGGUGGCGAAGGCGGGUCUCUGGGCAAUUCCUGACGCUGAGGCGCGAAAGCGUGGGGGAGCAAACGGG